rnacentral:rRNA from 1 species
UGGGGAAUAUUGGACAAUGGACCAAAAGUCUGAUCCAGCAAUUCUGUGUGCGCGGUGACGUUUUUCGGAAUGUAAAGUGCUUUCAGUUGGGAAGAAAAAAAUGACGGUACCAACAGAAGAAGUGACGGCUAAAUACGUGCCAGCAGCCGCGGUAAUACGUAUGUCACAAGCGUUAUCCGGAUUUAUUGGGCGUAAAGCGCAUCUAGGUGGUUAUGUAAGUCUGAUGUGAAAAUGCAGGGCUCAACUCUGUAUUGCGUUGGAAACUGCAUGACUAGAGUACUGGAGAGGUAAGCGGAACUACAAGUGUAGAGGUGAAAUUCGUAGAUAUUUGUAGGAAUGCCGAUGGGGAAGCCAGCUUACUGGACAGAUACUGACGCUAAAGCGCGAAAGCGUGGGUAGCAAACAGGAUUAGAUACCCUGGUAGUCCACGCCGUAAACGAUGAUUACUAGGUGUUGGGGGUCGAACCUCAGCGCCCAAGCUAACGCGAUAAGUAAUCCGCCUGGGGAGUACGUACGCAAGUAUG